rnacentral:rRNA from 1 species
GCGGAGGAAAAGAAACUAACAAGGAUUCCCCUAGUAACGGCGAGUGAAGAGGGAAGAGCCCAAGAUUGAAAGCUGGCGCCUUCGGCGUCCGCAUUGUAAUCUCAAGAAGUGUUUUCCGCUUCGGACCAUGCCUAAGUCCCUUGGAAAAGGGCAUCAUAGAGGGUGAUAAUCCCGUACAUGGCAUGGAGCGCCCGAAGCUUUGUGAUACGCUUUCUAAGAGUCGAGUUGUUUGGGAAUGCAGCUCAAAAUGGGUGGUAAAUGCCAUCUAAGGCUAAAUAUUGGGGAGAGACCGAUAGCGAACAAGUACAGUGAUGGAAAGAUGAAAAGAACUUUGAAAAGAGAGUUAAACAGUACGUGAAAUUGCCAAAAGGGAAGGGUAGGAGGUCAGAGAUGCGUCGCAGGAUUCAGCCUUGCUUUUGCUUGGUGUUUUUCCUGCGUUGCAGGCCAACGUCGGUUUUGGGCACUGGAGAAGGGUAGGAGGAACGUGGCACCUCUCGGGGUGUGUUAUAGCCUCCUACUGGAUACAGCGACCGAGACCGAGGAACGCAGCGUACUCGUAAGAGCGGGCCUUUUGGCACCUUUACGCUUAGGGCGUUGGCAUAAUGGCCCUCUACCACCCGUCUUG